CCAGGGAGUGACGGUGCCAGUCAGGGAUAAAGUGCCCAUCAUGUUGACCUCCCCUCCCUUCACUCCCUCUUUCAUUUUAAACCCUCUUGGCUCCGAGGA